GGGACUAUGGUGUAACGGUUAGCACAGCAGUUUGUGGAACUGCGGGCGAGAGUUCAACUCUCUCUAGUCCCCCA
rnacentral:tRNA from 2 species